rnacentral:rRNA from 1 species
AAAUUGAAGGGUUUGAUCAUGGCUCAGAUUGAACGCUGGCGGCAGGCCUAACACAUGCAAGUCGAACGGUAACAGGAAACAGCUUGCUGUUU